CUACGGGCCGCUGCAGUGAGGAAUAUUGCACAAUGGGGGGAACCCUGAUGCAGCAACGCCGCGUGGAGGAUGACGCAUUUCGGUGUGUAAACUCCUUUUAUAUGUCAAGAAAAUGACGGUAGCAUAUGAAUAAGCGCCGGCUAACUCCGUGCCAGCAGGCCGCGGUAAUACGGAGGGCGCAAGCGUUACUCGGAAUCACUGGGCGUAAAGGACGCGUAGGCGGGUUGAAAAGUCAGGUGUGAAAGCCUACAGCUUAACUGUAGAACUGCACUUGAAACUCUCAAUCUAGAGUAUGGGAGGGGCAGAUGGAAUUAGUGGUGUAGGGGUAAAAUCCGUAGAUAUCACUAGGAAUACCUAAAGCGAAGGCGAUCUGCUGGAACAUGACUGACGCUAAGGCGUGAAAGCGUGGGGAGCAAACAGGAUUAGAUACCCCAGUAGUC
rnacentral:rRNA from 1 species